UACAGAGGUCUCAACCGUUGUUCGGAUUCAUUGGGCGUAAAGGGUGCGUAGGCGGCGGGGUAAGUCAGGUGUGAAAUCUCGGAGCUUAACUCCGAAACUGCAUUCGAUACUGCCGUGCUUGAGGACUGGAGAGGAGACUGGAAUUUACGGUGUAGCGGUGAAAUGCGUAGAUAUCGUAAGGAAGACCAGUGGCGAAGGCGGGUCUCUGGACAGUUCCUGACGCUGAGGCACGAAGGUCAGGGGAGCAAACGGG
rnacentral:rRNA from 1 species